rnacentral:rRNA from 1 species
GAUGAACGCUGGCGGCGUGCCUAAUACAUGCAAGUCGAGCGAACGGACGAGAAGCUUGCUUCUCUGAUGUUAGCGGCGGACGGGUGAGUAACACGUGGAUAACCUACCUAUAAGACUGGGAUAACUUCGGGAAACCGGCGCUAAUACCGGAUAAUAUUUUGAACCGCAUGGUUCAAAAGUGAAAGACGGUCUUGCUGUCACUUAUAGAUGGAUCCGCGCUGCAUUAGCUAGUUGGUAAGGUAACGGCUUACCAAGGCAACGAUGCAUAGCCGACCUGAGAGGGUGAUCGGCCACACUGGAACUGAGACACGGUCCAGACUCCUACGGGAGGCAGCAGUAGGGAAUCUUCAGCAAUGGGCGAAAGCCUGACGGAGCAACGCCGCGUGAGUGAUGAAGGUCUUCGGAUCGUAAAACUCUGUUAUUAGGGAAGAACAUAUGUGUAAGUAACUGUGCACAUCUUGACGGUACCUAAUCAGAAAGCCACGGCUAACUACGUG